rnacentral:rRNA from 1 species
GACGAACGCUGGCGGCGUGCUUAACACAUGCAAGUCGAACGGAAAGGCCCUGCUUUUGUGGGGUGCUCGAGUGGCGAACGGGUGCGUAACACGUGAGUAACCUGCCCUUGACUUUGGGGUAACUUCAGGAAACUGGGGCUAAUACCGUAUAGGAUCUCCUGCUGCAUGGUGGGCGUUGGAACGUUUCGGCGGGUGGGGAUGGACUGGCGGGUUAUCAGCUUGUUGGUGGGGGAGUGGCUUACCCAGGCAUUGACGGGUACGCCGCACGAGAGGGGGGACGGCCACAUUGGGACUGCGAUACGGCCCAGACGGCUACGGGAGGCAGCAGUGGGGAAUAUUGCACAAUGGGCGGAAGCCUGAUGCAGAAACGCCGCGUGCGGGAUGACGGCCUUCGGGGUGUAAAACGCUUUCGCCUGUGACGAAGCGUGAGUGACGGUAAUGGGUAAAGAAGCACCGGCUAACUACGUG